AAAGAAGAGCAUUGGGAUACAACUUUAUGGGUUGUUCGUCACUUGAAGGGAAUCUAGGACAAGGUAUUUUGUUGAAAGGAAAAUAUGAUCUUCGUCUCUAUAGAUGGUGUGACUUUGAUUGAGCUGGUUGUCCCUUGACUCGAUGCUCUUCACAUGUUGGUUUAUCUCGUCGGGUGACUCGCCCAUAUCUUGAAAGACUAAGAAGCAACAUACUGUCU
rnacentral:lncRNA from 1 species